rnacentral:rRNA from 1 species
GGACGAACGUUGGCGGCGUGCCUUACACAUGCAAGUCGUACGCGAAAGGGGAAUCCAGCUUGCUGGGGACCCCCGGUAGAGUGGCGAACGGGAGCGUAACACGUGAGGAACCUGCCUCGGAGUGGGGAAUAACCCAGAGAAAUCUGAGCUAAUUCCGCAUGCUGCAGCAGCCCCGCAUGGGGCAGCUGUGAAAGACCGCCUCUGCUUGCAAGCGGUCGCUUCGAGAUGGUCUCGCGGCCUAUCAGCUAGUUGGCGGGGUAAUGGCCCACAAGGCGACGACGGGUAGCCGGCUGAGAGGGUGUCCGGCUCAUUGGGACUG